rnacentral:rRNA from 1 species
GGGACGAGCCCAGCACCGAAUCCCCCGGCAUGCAGCCGGCGGGAAAUGUGGUGUGCGGGACGCCAACUGUCGUCCGCGCUGGAGACCGAAGUCCUCCUGAUCGGGGCCUCUCCCACAGCGGGUGUCAGGCCUUUACUGGUCUCCGGCCGGGCGGCUGCGAGCGUCUCAGGAGUCGGGUUGUUUGGGAAUGCAGCCCAAAGCGGGUGGUAAACUCCAUCUAAG